GACGAACGCUGGCGGCGUGCUUAACACAUGCAAGUCGAACGCUGAAGCUCAGCUUUUGUUGGGUGGAUGAGUGGCGAACGGGUGAGUAACACGUGAGUAACCUGCCUCCUUCUUUGGGAUAACGCCCGGAAACGGGUGCUAAUACUGGAUAUUCACUGGUCUUCGCAUGGGGGUUGGUGGAAAGGGUUUUUCUGGUGGGGGAUGGGCUCGCGGCCUAUCAGCUUGUUGGUGGGGUGAUGGCCUACCAAGGCUUUGACGGGUAGCCGGCCUGAGAGGGUGACAGGUCACAUUGGGACUGAGAUACGGCCCAGACUACUACGGGAGGCAGCAGUGGGGAAUAUUGCACAAUGGGCGCAAGCCUGAUGCAGCGACGCCGCGUGAGGGAUGGAGGCCUUCGGGUUGUGAACCUCUUUCGCUCAUGGUCAAGCCGCAACAAUGGUUGUGGUGAGGGUAGUGGGUAAAGAAGCGCCGGCUAACUACGUG
rnacentral:rRNA from 1 species